rnacentral:rRNA from 1 species
UACGUAGGUGACAAGCGUUGUCCGGAUUUACUGGGCGUAAAGAGCGCGCAGGCGGUCGAUCAAGUCGAGUGUGAAAUCGCCCGGCUCAACUGGGCGGGGUCAGCGGAUACGGCGUGGCUGGAGCAAGCUAGGGGGCAAUGGAAUUCCCGGUGUAGUGGUGGAAUGCGUAGAUAUCGGGAGGAACACCAGUGGCGAAGGCGGUUGCCUGGAGCUUUGCUGACGCUGAUGCGCGAAAGCGUGGGGAGCGAGCCGG